rfam:Sphingomonas sp. Leaf357 contig_2, whole genome shotgun sequence.
GGGGCCGUAGCUCAGCUGGGAGAGCGUUCGCAUGGCAUGCGAAAGGUCAGGGGUUCGAUCCCCCUCGGCUCCA